ensembl:lncRNA
CCCAUAGAGAGCUCAUCUGAGAUCUUAUCCCCUGCCCAGGCUUCAGUAGGUCUAGCCCUGAAAGAUGUCCUAGGACUCAGAAGUCCAGAAAACAUACAACCCUGAAGAGAGAAGACAUCCCAAUGGAAGGGUCAUCCUGAGACACUAGGGCCCAGGAACCACAGAGCUCUGAGAGGAAGCCUCCUGGGUGGUUGCAGCUCCCAGGGGAGAGAGUCCCCAGCUGAGCUCAGGAGCUCAGGAGCUCAGGCCUGAUCCAUCGCUUCCCUUCUUCCCUUCAUUGCUUCUUGGCUUCUUCUGAAGAGAGAGCUACCAGGCAGCAAAUCCCAUAAAAGAUUUAUCAGGAAGGUCUGGGGUGUAGAGGGACAAAUCCAGGAGUGGCUGCCUCUGCUCCUGAAAGGAAGUGGACAGCAGGGAACUGAGCAGACACACCUUUAUAGAGGGUUUCUUAGGGGUGGAACUUUCCAGGGCAGAGAUAUCCAGGCUGAGGAUUAGCAGGAUUUCACAUUCUUAGCUUGGAAGAGGUCAGGGAUUGGUGGGUUUUCCUGUUCAGAUUUUUUUUUUCACCUAAAAUAUCGUAAUCUGGGGAGGGUCCUGUUGUGGGGCUGGAGAUGACCUUUGUGACAGUUACAGAGGCUUGAAACACCAUUAUGACAGUUAGUGGGGUCUGGAGGUUGGGCCUGGCUGCUGGAGCUCCUCAGGAGCCUGGACACUUUCCAGCCCUGGGGGUUUACAAAGUUGACUAAGUAUAAAACUUUUACAAAGGGAGUUCCCUGAUGCUUGAGUGGCAUAAGCAGCCAUCCCAGGGUCUCAUUAUGUAGUCCUGGCUGUCCUGGAGCUCACUCUGUAGACCAGGCUGGCCUUGAACUCUUGAUCUGCCUGCCUCUCCUUCCUGAGUGCUGGGAUUUUCUUGACUAAUGACUCAUGCAGGAGGGCCCAGUCCAUUGUGGGUUGUGCUACCUCUGGGAAGGUAGUCAUGGGCUCUAUAAAAAAGCAGGCUGAGCAUGCUAUACGGAGCAAGCCAGUAAGCAGCACCCCUCCAUGGCCACUCCUUCAGCCCCAUUGUUGAGUUUCUGCUUUUGGUUUGACUGUAAUCUGUAAGUCUUUCCUCCCUGAGUUGUUUUCGGUCACAGUGUUUUAUCAUAGGAAUAGAAACCAGACCAGGGCAGUGUGUAUAUCCUAUAUGUACAAAUGCGUGUAGGUGAAUAUGCCUCUGCAUGUUCAGAGGGGCCAGUGGAGACCACUGGGUGCAAUACCUUUCUGUCCUUCUACCACCCCCUGCUUUAUUCCUCUGAGGCAGGGGCUUGAAUCUAGGCUGGAAGCUAGCAAACCCCAGUAUUCCUGUCUUUGCCUCCCACGGAGCUGAGAUGAAGGUAUGUUUGGCCACACCCCAGUUUUAAAGAUCUGAGUGCUGGGAACUUAAACUUGGGUCCUUAAGGUUCCCCAGCAAAUACUCUCCACCCCUGAGUUCUCGCUCCAGCCCCUAGCCUUGUGUCAUUAGCUGCAGGCUCCCGAGUGCUGAGCUCCAUGAGGAACACAUACUAAGGUCCAGGGUGUCUGUCUGGAUUUCUUGCAAUGGCCACCUAACUGGAGGCUGCACACUGUCCUUCGACAUCAAUCCUGCUAUCCAGAGAUUGUUUUGGAGCUUCUUGCCCACUCUGUCCCUUCCUUACAACUUAGGACAAGGACCAUGAUGGGGACGGUGCCUGAAGGAAUGGGGACAAAGUGAAGAGAGUGGGGGGGGGAGGGGAGUCCCUGGGCAACUGUAUGGAAUGGUUAUCUGGGAUGCUCACUGCUACUAGAGAGAUAUGUGACGUUCCACAAUAAACCUUUUGUUUG